UUUGGUACGUUUCGCGGCCUGAGAGGGGGUGUUUCUGGACUUUGUCGAUUCUUCAGAAAAAUCUCUGAGGCCGGAGACUUUUUUUUUUUUUUUUUAUUGGUUGUAUUUCUUAUGCAUUAAGAGACGCACGGAAGGAGGACAACGGAGUUGGCGUACGUGGGUUCGAUUCCCACCCUAGGCUUUUUUUUUUCAAAGUACGGCUGGUGCAAAGCGGGCAGAUUAGCUUAGUGGCCCCGCGUCGACUCUGUUGCCUUCUCUCUCCUCGUUUCCCCAUGCUUAUAUUUGGCUAUCGAGGAGUCAGUCGCCCGUAAGACGCAGGCGAGCUGCCGCGGGGUGUCUCGACCAUCGAAGUCGGCAAACUAUACCCUCGGUAAAAAAUUUUUACGAGGGUGAAAUUUUCAUCGAGGUGUCGCACGUUAGACGCGGACGGGCUACCGCGGGUCUCUCGACCAUCG
rnacentral:lncRNA from 1 species